CUUUUUUUUUUCUUUUUUUUUUGUAAAAAGCUUCCUUAAUAUAAGUUCGCAAAAGACCCAAAACUUUUAUAGAAAUUAGCCCAGUUAGAAUCACACAAAGAACCUAAUUUUCAGAGCCCAUCAAAGCCCAGAUGAAAAUAGAAAAAGUAGCCCAGCCCAAGUAAUAUUUCAGUAGCCAAAAGGUCUCUAGCGGAGAAGACGAGAGUCGCUGAUGGAGGAGCAAGAAGGCGAUGCUCAGAUCAAGAUAAUAGUAGCCAAGUCUGCAUCAUCCUUGAGGAAAGUAAGGGGUUUGAUUCUCUGAAGCUCUGCACCUUGUUGAUCAGUUGCCGAUCAAUCAGUUUGAAGAUUGAAUCAACCGGACGGAAGACGUUUGCAUGCAUUCGAUUGUUCCUCUCAUUCCAAAGCCAGUAUAGAGUCGCCUGCCAAGCCAUCAGAACCAGCUUACGGUGAUGCUUUGGUACAAGCUCUUCAGGAUCCAUGCCAAGACUCGUUUCGUGCUGAAAAGGAACUCCAUCAAAAGUGGUCUUUCCUUCGUGAGAUUGAGGAGAUGUUCUUUCGACAAAAGUCUAGAAUUACCUGGCUCCGAGAGGGUGACUUGAACACGGCAUACUUCCUCCGCAUCUGCCAAACAAGAGCCAGCUACAACGCAAUCAGAGCUUUCCUUACUGCCACAGACACUUGGAUAACAGACCCACUUCUGAUGAGCUCCCAUGCUGUUGAUCACUUCCAGUCUGUGUUUGCGCCAGUCAUAUACCAGCCGCCCUCUACUUACUCUUCUUCAGCCUGGUUCCUUGAGCUGACGGACUUCACUUUCCCGAUGGAGCACUUGCAGCAGAUGAUCUCGAUCCCUUCUCCAGAUGAGAUAAGGUCCUGUAUGUUCAAGCUAAAUCCCAGCAAGGCUCCGGAGCCUGAUGGACUAACAUCAAGAUUCUUCAAAGCUUCUUGGGAAGUAGUAGGAGGGGAAGUAAUCACUGCGAUUCAAAACUUCUUUGCGUCUAAGUUCCUGCCAGCAACAACAAACUCAGUCAGUACGUUGAUAUUUACAAAAGGUCUCCACUCACUUAUCGUCUUGGAUUUUAAAUCCAGUAUAAAUCUACGCGUGUCCAAAGAAGCAAAGACCUUCGACCGAGGGAAAGUGACAAAUUAGGAAUAAUGAACUUUCCAUAUAUUGUACAAAUGCCCUAAUAAUUCCAUUGUAUAUACUCCACAUAAUACACUAUCCGACGACAAGGGUUCUGCCAAGUAACAUAAUUCGUAGACAUAUAAUCUUUAGCAAUACUUUUUGACU